rnacentral:rRNA from 1 species
AGUGAACGCUGGCGGUAGGCCUAACACAUGCAGGUCGAACGGCAGCACAGUAAGAGCUUGCUCUUACGGGUGGCGAGUGGCGGACGGGUGAGGAAUACAUCGGAAUCUACUUUUUCGUGGGGGAUAACGUAGGGAAACUUACGCUAAUACCGCAUACGACCUACGGGUGAAAGCAGGGGAUCUUCGGACCUUGCGCGAUUGAAUGAGCCGAUGUCGGAUUAGCUAGUUGGCGGGGUAAAGGCCCACCAAGGCGACGAUCCGUAGCUGGUCUGAGAGGAUGAUCAGCCACACUGGAACUGAGACACGGUCCAGACUCCUACGGGAGGCAGCAGUGGGGAAUAUUGGACAAUGGGCGCAAGCCUGAUCCAGCCAUACCGCGUGGGUGAAGAAGGCCUUCGGGUUGUAAAGCCCUUUGUUGGGAAAGAAAAGCAGCAGGUUAAUACCCCGCUGUUCUGACGGUACCCAAAGAAUAAGCACCGGCUAACUUCGUG